rnacentral:rRNA from 1 species
CCUACGGGUGACAGCAGUGAGGAAUAUUGGUCAAUGGACGAGAGUCUGAACCAGCCAAGUAGCGUGAAGGAUGACUGCCCUAUGGGUUGUAAACUUCUUUUAUAUGGGAAUAAAAUGCUCCACGUGUGGGAUUUGGUAUGUACCAUAUGAAUAAGGAUCGGCUAACUCCGUGCCAGCAGCCGCGGUAAUACGGAGGAUCCGAGCGUUAUCCGGAUUUAUUGGGUUUAAAGGGAGCUGAGGUGGGUUGUUAAGUCAUCUGUGAAAUUUUGCGGCUCAACAGUAAAAUUGCAGUUGAAACUGGCAGUCUUGAGUACAGUAGAGGUAGGCGGAAUGCGUGGUGUAGCGGUGAAAUGCUUAGAUAUCACGAAGAACUCCGAUUGCGAAGGCAGUUCACUGGACUGCAACUGACACUGAGGCUCGAAAGUGUGGGUAUCAAACAGGAUUAGAUACCCGGGUAGUC